CUUUCUCUUCCUCUCCUGAUUCCCCUCUUCCUCUCUUCCUCUCGCGUCGACCCCCUCUUCCUCUCUUCCUCUCACGCCAACCUCUCCUCUCCCAAUCCUUCAUCGCCGCUAACCAUAGAGCUCCGAUUUCCGGAUAUUACGAUCUCGAUCCACCGUCGACCGGGAGUCACAACUCUUCUUUUCUUCCUCACGCGCGCCCUAGAUCCAAGCUGUCUCCCUCUCAUGCGUGGCGCUCUCUGGAUCGAUGUUGCGGCCACCAUCUCAUCGCUGACCUUUCCUUCAGCCACAAGUAAGAGAUCCGACACCCUUCGAUUGUGCUGAGCCAUAUUUCCUGAUUCCACUGCCGCCCUCGCUUCCUCUUCUCCUCAUUUCUCUCCUGUGCCCUAGAUCUUCUCUCGAUAUUGUUGUUUGCAGUCAUGCAUCAUCGGAACAUUGCUGUCCGAUCCCAUCCAAUCCAUUGCUGGCAAAUCCCAGUCGACGCCGUCAACCUCUGCUCAUUGCCACAGUUAGUGUCAUGGCUAUCUGGCCAUCCAAGAUGUGGCCAUUGAUCAGUUUCGGUAACCAUUGAUGCUGUUUCCACCUCCGACCACCAAACGUCUAUCAUCGAUUGCUGUGAAUCAUCGUUGGAAGAGCCAGAAAUGGAGAGGAGACUGCCGGUAUUAGAUUAAGCUUCCGUCAACACUAUUUGCCGGUGGACCAGAGCUCCGACCACAUUUAUUGGCAACCAGCUCCUCCAGCAAUGAAUUAAUAGGGAGCAUCUGAAAUUUGGGACUCUGAUUCGAGACAAGCGUCUCGACAUUGGAUUGUUUAGCACAAUUGACAGAUAAAGGCGAGUACCUUUGACUUAUCUUUUUGAUAUUGUCUUUAUGAUAUGCUUAGUAGGUUAUAACUAGUAGUAAUAGUUAUGUUUAUAUUUGCUAGGUAUGUCACUACUUGAUACCCGUAGUAUGCCUAUGUUAUUAUUUGUUGUGCAUUUAUGUGUAUGUCCUCUUGAGUCUUGGCAUGUGUACUUAUGUAGUGACAUACAAUGCAUUUCCGAAUAAAGGUCUAGCUAUUAGAUAUACUUGUCUUGUGUUCCUAGUUUUAUUACUUGGUAUGUGUACCUAGAUUUAUUAAUUGGCAUGUGUACCUAAGUUUAUUACUUGGCAUGUGUACCUAGGUUUAUUUUCUGGCAUGUGUACCUAGAUCAUUAUUAUGGACUUGGUUUCCUUUUUGGUACACAUUAUGAGGAGGUUGGUAUUUUUCAGAAUUUACAUGCUUUAGUGUCAUGCACCAUUUUACAUGAUUGCAUGCUGAGCGAUUGUCGGCUCCAUUGUUGUUGAGUACAUCGCCAGUUACAUGAUCUGCACACACAACCACUUAUGGGUUAGUGGUUUAUCAGGCAAGGUGUAUGACAGUUUUGCUCUAUCAGGCUCCGCUGGUCCGCUCAUGGGUAGUGUUGACUGCAGCGUGGUAGCGGGCAGGGAUCCCUCCUCUUCACUAUGACACAGGGAGAUGAGAGCUUUGGCUCCCCCACUCUGUUUGGGAUAGGAGGAUAGGUGUACUCCGACAACAUCCUGUCCACUCGGUCACUUAGAAGUAGUGAUGGCAGAGUACACAAUUGUCAUAUCCCUACCCACUUGGCCUCACCAUCGCGUGUGAGGUGGCUGACUGGCGUCAGGGGUGAUCAUGUCUUUUGCAUCAUAUGCAUGGAUUGCAUUUAUUGUUUGUGAUUGCUGCAUUUUGGAUGUUGCAUUUUUUAUGGAUGCAUAUGAUUGACAUGCAUACAGGAGAUAUGAUGUAUUUGGUUUGAUGACCCUACAUCUGUUAGUGUGGUUCCCACCCUUAUGUCAGGAUAGGAGGCUCUGGUGAGUACAGUUUUUCUUAUAUUGUUCAAUUUUGUAUUCCCUAUUAUUGAUCAGGAGACUGUACUCCAUGAUUAUUAUUGUUAGAUAUAUCUUACUAUGCAUGUUAGUUCGAUACCGCUGAGUUGUUGAACUCACUACCCUUUUUUUCCUGUUAUUUUCAGGUUAUCACAUAGAUAUAUCGUGUCGCUUGGAGUAUCCUGUUUGUCAGUCCCACGUCACAUCAGAAGACGCAUAUAGAUAUGUCAUGUCGCUUGGAGUAUCCUGUCUGUCGGUCCCACGUCACAUCAGAAGACGGUUUACCUCGCUCUUGAUAUCUUUUUAUAUAUUCUUUAUUGAUUUGGCAUGGUAUUCGUGUUUAGCCAUGUGGCUAUUUCAUUAUUUUUUGGUGUUGUAUUUGUGUUUUAAGCCAUGUCGGCACGCAUUGUGUUGUUUUUGUUUGUAUGAGCUUCCCUUUUAUUUUUUUUCCGUUGUGUUCUUCUUAGUACUGCCGUGUGGGAUGUUAUAUAUAUAACUAUAUGGUUGUGGUUAUUUUGUUCCAGCCGA